rnacentral:rRNA from 1 species
UGGGGAAUAUUGCACAAUGGGCGCAAGCCUGAUGCAGCCAUGCCGCGUGUGUGAAGAAGGCCUUCGGGUUGUAAAGCACUUUCAGCGAGGAGGAAGGUGGUGGACUUAAUACGUUCAUCAAUUGACGUUACUCGCAGAAGAAGCACCGGCUAACUCCGUGCCAGCAGCCGCGGUAAUACGGAGGGUGCAAGCGUUAAUCGGAAUUACUGGGCGUAAAGCGCACGCAGGCGGUUUGUUAAGUCAGAUGUGAAAAUCCCCCGGGCUCAACCUGGGAACUGCAUUUGAAACUGGCAAGCUAGAGUCUCGUAGAGGGGGGUAGAAUUCCAGGUGUAGCGGUGAAAUGCGUAGAGAUCUGGAGGAAUACCGGUGGCGAAGGCGGCCCCCUGGACGAAGACUGACGCUCAGGUGCGAAAAGCGUGGAGAGCAAAACAGGAUUAGAUACCCUGGUAGUCCACGCUGUAAAACGAUGUCGAUUUGGAGGUUGUGCCCUUGAGGCGUGGCUUCCGGAGUUAACGCGUUAAAUCGACCGCCUGGGGGAGUACGGCC